rnacentral:rRNA from 1 species
GACAGAGGUGCCGAGCGUUAGGCGGAAUCACUGGGCUUAAAGCGUGUGUAGGCGGCCCGUUAAGUACCUUGUGAAAUCCCCCGGCUCAACCGGGGAACGGCUGGGUAUACUGGCGGUCUUGAGCCACCUAGGGGCGAGCGGAACAAGCGGUGGAGCGGUGAAAUGCGUAGAUAUCGCUUGGAACGCCGACGGUGAAAACAGCUCGCUGGGGGUGUGCUGACGCUGAGACACGAAAGCCAGGGGAGCGAACGGG